AAGUAUGGGGUAGAGAGAUCCAUAGAUAACAACCUGUUCGGUUAUAAACAAAUAAAUAGAUAGCAUCAGUUAACUCAAAUAGUAGAGAAGUAAUUUACCUGAUGAUUUGAGGCCAUCAUGACAUGCCACACCACAAGUCGAAACAAUAAUAAAAUAAUCUCACUAAUGCAAUCAACUUAAACACGCCUCUAGCAUAUAAAAAUGUAAGAGAUAAAGGCUAUUUAAACAACUACUAAUUGAACAAACACUUACAAGCGCCAUCUUGAUGAAAAGCUUAGCUUCGCUCGAUCUCAAAUCUGCACAACGACAACAAAUAAAAUCAGUGACAUCAAACAUGAACAGGCGAACAACAAAAAUCAAGAAAAUCAAAAGAAUUCUCUCGCUAAGAGGUGGGGGUAAGGUCAACAACGAUAAUUACCCCACUUAGGAGAGCAAAGAAAUUUGUGCCACGCAUGCAUGCAUAAAUCUUGAGGGAAAUCCUUGACGCAAAUAA
rnacentral:lncRNA from 1 species